AAAUGCGAUACUGGUGUGAAUUGGAGAAUCCCGUGCACCAUCGUGUCUUUGAACGCAGUUGCGCCCGAGGCCAUCCGGCUAAGGGCACGCCUGCCUGGGCGUCACGCUUUAGACGUUUCGUCGUUGCCCCCUCGGGGGGKGGGGGCGAACGUGGAGGAUGGCCCCCCGUGCCGGAAAGGUGCGGUUGGCCGAAGAGCGGGCCGUCGGUGGUUGUCGAACACGACGCGUGGUGGAUGCCUUGUGCGAGCCGUACGUCGUGCCUUCGGGACCCGGGCGAGGCCUCGAGGACCCAAGUCGUGGUGCGAGUCGAUGCCACGGACCGCGACCCCAGGUCAGGUGGGGCUACCCGCUGAGUUUAAGCAUAUCAAUAAGCGGAG
rnacentral:rRNA from 1 species